rnacentral:rRNA from 1 species
UACGUAGGGGGCAAGCGUUGUCCGGAUUUAUUGGGCGUAAAGAGCUUGUAGGCGGUUUGUCGCGUCUGCUGUGAAAUUUCGGGGCUCAACCCCGAACUUGCAGUGGGUACGGGCAGACUAGAGUGUGGUAGGGGAGACUGGAAUUCCUGGUGUAGCGGUGAAAUGCGCAGAUAUCAGGAGGAACACCGAUGGCGAAGGCAAGUCUCUGGGCCAUAACUGACGCUGAGAAGCGAAAGCAUGGGGAGCGAACAGG